rnacentral:rRNA from 1 species
AUUGAACGCUGGCGGCAUGCGUAACACAUGCAAGUCGAACGGUGUUUGGUGCUUGCACCAGACAUAGUGGCGGACGGGUGAGUAAUGCGUAGGAAUCUGUCUUAGAGAGGGGGACAACCCGAGGAAACUUGGGCUAAAACCGCAUAUUCUCGAGAGAGGAAAGCAGGGGACCGGAAACGGCCUUGUGCUCUAAGGUGAGCCUACAUCGGAUUAGCUAGUUGGUAGGGUAAAAGCCUACCAAGGCGAUGAUCUGUAGCUGGUCUGAGAGGACGGACAGCCACACUGGGACUGAGACACGGCCCAGACUCCUACGGGAGGCAGCAGUGGGGAAUAUUGGACAAUGGGGGGAACCCUGAUCCAGCGAUGCCGCGUGUGUGAAGAAGGCCUGCGGGUUGUAAAAGCACUUUCAGUGGGAAAGAGAAGCGUCUUGUGAAUAAUGGGACGUGGAGACGUU